GGGGGAGCUGCUAAGCGGCGACUGAAGCAGUAGGGAGCGUGGAGAGAUAGCAGCGGGGUGAGGGGGAGAGCAAGGGAGCAGGUUAGCCGGGCUCGUUUGGUCAGGGGCAAUUCCGCCUCGAGCUAGAGCAGACGCUGUGAGGUCCGAUUCCAGCACUGCUUUCCUCUGAAAGGAAAGGGGGCACGCCUGGAAAGGUUACGGUUCUUGCUAAAAAAAGAAACGCAGCACUGUUUUGGUGUGGAGAAGAGAGAUAUUCCUGUUUUCUGGCCCUUCAGCUUUGGCUGGGAACAAGUGGUCGCUGCUUUUUGCAGCACCAGCCCAGCUGCCUGUCUGCUGAGCCAGUUCUGCUCCUCCAGCAAAAUAUUUGCGGUGGUUUUUUGCCAGUCGUCGGGCCACGGAAAUAUUAUUGACCAUGUGUAAACAAAAUCUACAGACGUGAAACUGUCCCCUAGAGAUAACUGGAGCCUCAAAAACUAUAGCACUACCUGAAGAUUUUUCCAGAUCUCUUCUGUGCAGCUUUUUAUUAUCUGCGGAAAAUGAAGAUAUAUCAGACAUUGGGAGCAAUAAUAUGGUGAGACACAUGAGAAAAGAAGAAUGUUGAUGAUGUGUAUUUUGGUGGCUGGUGAGAUCCAUCUUGAUUUCAGCCAGAAAUACUGGAAGGGAGCAGUACUUUGCACCUGCAUUAUGAAGCAUAGAGUGACAGAAGCGCUCACAAACAUCGGAAGUGAAAUGUAUUCCAAAUCCUUCAGAGAAUGCAACAAAUCCAUAUGAUGUCCAUGAAACUGGUUAGUGUACUUGGAUCUUCCGUUGGCUGACAGAUAUUUAAAAUCACAUGAAGACAGACAGCUCCCCACUGAUUCUGCAUCUGAGAAAGUUCUUAAUAAGCAAUAAGCAAUAUUUUAAUUAAGGUUAUUGAUUUCUUUAUUAUGGUGAUUGUAUUUUAAUUGCCUAUGAAGCACUCUGGGGGCAAAGGUGGCCCUUAUGAUUAUUAUAUGACAGUGAAUAAAUGGAAUACAUUGCUCUCUUAGAAAAUGAAC
rnacentral:lncRNA from 1 species